UACAGAGGGUGCAAGCGUUGUUCGGAAUUAUUGGGCGUAAAGCGCGCGUAGGCGGUUACUUAAGUCGGAUGUGAAAGCCCUCGGCUUAACUGAGGAAGUGCACCCGAAACUGAGUAGCUAGAGUACGAAAGAGGGUCGCGGAAUUCCCGGUGUAGAGGUGAAAUUCGUAGAUAUCGGGAGGAACACCGGUGGCGAAGGCGGCGACCUGGGUCGAGACUGACGCUGAGGCGCGAAAGCGUGGGGAGCAAACAGG
rnacentral:rRNA from 1 species